GUCCCUGCAGUGCAAUGGGUAGCGCAUUUGACUCGUAAUCCAAAGGUUGUGGCUUUUCAUCCCACCUGGGAUG